CAGCGCCGCGGUAAUACGUAGGGUGCAAGCGUUAAUCGGAAUUACUGGGCGUAAAGCGUGCGCAGGCGGUUAUAUAAGACAGAUGUGAAAUCCCCGGGCUCAACCUGGGAACUGCAUUUGUGACUGUAUAGCUAGAGUACGGCAGAGGGGGAUGGAAUUCCGCGUGUAGCAGUGAAAUGCGUAGAUAUGCGGAGGAACACCGAUGGCGAAGGCAAUCCCCUGGGCCUGUACUGACGCUCAUGCACGAAAGCGUGGGGAGCAAACAGGAUUAGAUACCCGGGUAGUCCCUGUCUCUUAUACA
rnacentral:rRNA from 1 species